AAUAUGUGCAGGCCUUUAUGACUAUGUCAUGGGUGGCUCCUCUGAAAUGCAUUAGCGGAGCUGCUUGCAACCUUGCUAUAGGCGUGAUAAAUUAUUUCUGUGCCAAGUGGGGUUUGCCUUGUUGUGGUUUGGCUUCCAACUCGGU
rnacentral:rRNA from 1 species